AAAAUAUGCAUAGAGCAUUUGUAGUAAUUAGAUGCAGCUCAGGUUUGGUAGUUUGAAGGAAUAGAAGUUUCUUUCUUUAUAUCCACCCGGGUGACUGAUCAUGCCUUCCUCAUGGGUUGAAAGAACUCCACUUCCACCAUGGAUGCCAGCAGGUCAGAUAAACUAGACAGACGAGGGACACUGCUUAGUGACUUGAGGAUCUGGUCCAAAGAACUGGUGCACCCAGGGACCUCUGUCUGCCCAAUGGCCAGAGAAUCCUCAGGGAAAUGAUCACCUCCAAGAAAUGGGCACUGUGACAUUGCCCUGUGGGUCCCCUCAUCCAGCAUCCUUCAGGGUACUUACAGCAUUAUCCUUACAGGACUAAUUAAAAUUUGGCUGAUAGUGAUUUUCCUUCCAUGAUGGCACUUUUUAUGCUAAAGGUCACCUUACAAUAUUAUGAAACUCAGCCUUGAAGAUGUAAAGACAGCACAUGUGGGGGCGUGAAAUGAGCAGGUGUGUGUUGAG
rnacentral:lncRNA from 1 species